rnacentral:lncRNA from 1 species
UUUUUUUUUUUUUUUUUGUCUUUCUUUGCUAUUUCUUGGGCCGCUCCCACGGCAUAUGGAGGUUCCCAGGCUAGGGGUUGAAUCGGAGCUGCAGCCACCGGCCUACGCCAGAGCCACAGCAACGCUGGAUCCAAGCCGUGUCUGCAACCUACACCACAGCUCACGGCAACGCCGGAUCAUUAACCCACUGAGCAAGGGCAGGGACCGAACCCGCAACCUCAUGGUUUCUAGUCGGAUUCAUUAACCACUGCGCCACGAUGGGAACUCCACAUAUUUUUUAAGUAUAUGAUCAUGGGUAUCUGAUUGCUGUGGUAUUUGGAUUCCCCUGGAUCUAUUUUAAAAAGUGAUGUAACAGUUUUAUUCCCAAAUGUCCACUUUUGCAGUAUACUAGAUAUUAUAUCUUUUGCAACAACUUCAACUUAUGUUGCAAAACUGGAGCUGUCAUUUUUUUAAAAGAACAGAGGACAUAUUACAUUUUGAAAAACUUUAGGGGGUACAUGACCAAGAGUCUAAAGAUGACAACUAUUAGGAGUUCCCGUCAUGGCGCAGCAAAAACGAAUCUGACUAGGAACCAUGAGGUUGCAGGUCCAAUCCCUGGCCUCGAUCAAUGGGUUAACAAUCCGGCAUUGCCAUUAGCUGUGGUGUAGGUUACAGACGCAGCUCGGAUCUGGCGUUGCUGUAGCUCUGGCAUAGGAAGGCAGCAAUAGCUCCAGUUGGACCCCUGGCUUGGGAAUCUCCAUAUGCCGCAGGUGUGGCCCUAAAAAAGGAUUAAAAAUAAAGAUGACAACUAUUACAGAACAGAAGUCCCCUAACCUUUUCAGUGGGAGCAUCCCUUAAACAUUUUUAAGUUUGUAAGGCAGAAGUAGUUUUACUUUCUUUAUCUAUUAACCAAGAAAAAUUAAGUAACAAAAAAAUAGUGUCGCUUGUCAAUAACACUCAUAAAUUAUAAAUUAUUAAAUGAAUUUUAUUAUUCAUUAAAAUAGCAAUGCAUGCAUCUAAAUAUUCUAACCCAUAUAGAUUUGAAGUGUAAUAUCCACUAACCUAGAGAGAAGGUUUAGGGCACCCAAGGAUUCACAGAAGUUCUAUACUAACACCAGAGCCCCUAGUCUCAGAACCACACUCCCCUGGUUGGGGUCCUCUGGCUUUGUAGAGUGGUCUCUCCUUGUGAGAGGGUAGGAAAAUACCCAUGAAGCCCAUUUCAAGGGGAAAUCUUUAGAAGGAGAAUAUAGGUUCAAAUGCUUUUUGCAGCCAAGCAGGUAGCUCAAAUGAGUGAUCCUGCCUAGGAGUAGAUUGGAACUGUAGCCAAUAGCAAGCUGUGUCUGGGUUAAAGGGACAAUUUCAGCUCUACCUGUUGACAUGGCUUGCAUUGCUGGAAGGUUUUCACUUUUCCAGAAAAGGUGGGUUUUUAUGUGAAAAUAUCUUUAAAAACUGUUUGGGCCAACCUACCCGCAAAUAUGAGCUGAAUUUAGCCCUUAGACCUCCAAUGUGCCAUCUCUGUUCAGUGCUACUCAAAGUGCAACCCAGAUCUAAGAACUGUUUGCUACAUUCCAAAUGAGAUGCAUAUAGCAACUGAUAAUGACAUUUAGAAACAUGUAUAGUAGUUUGACAGUAAUUUUGCGAAUAUAAUUUUCUGACUCUAGUAAUAAGAAAAUUGUGAUUGUAUUAUUGGAUUUUUGCAAUUUAUUUCUCUAAUUUUUUUAAACAUUAGUGAGCAAUGGGUUAGAAAUCUUGCCCACAGAUAUUUUAACCAUUGCUGUGGUCUUUUCAUCAAGGUAAAGGGUCUAUGUGAAGAUGCUGUCUUUUCUAAAUCAAAUUAGGGCUUGAUAAAUGAUGUUAAUCUCGGGAAUUUUCACAUUACUAUCUGAAAAGACACAGCCUGUAGUUAAAAUGCACCCAAUUCUAAACAGCUGACAGAUAUUUAGCAGUAAAGGCCUGGAAGCUGACCUCUUUUCCCUAGAGGAACUGGGAACUAUCAUGUCAUUCCUGCAAGACUGCUCCCAGGCCCAUUACGCCACCAAACUUCCUGAAGGGGCAUCUGUGAGAUGAGCAACCAGAUGCCAUAGGUCACACAGAGUUCCUCUCCCCGCCCCCCUGCCCCAGCACACAAGGACCAACCCAGCAAAGGCCCUCAGCUCUGAGCAGAGAGCAUGCUCUCCAGCUGUUGUUUCUGUAUCUGCCUCUGGGAACAUACCAAGCUUCUCUAGGACCAAGAAUCCUGCUUCUUGGUCUCCCCAGCUUAGUUCCAUUGCACUAAAUUUUCUCCUCUCCCUGGCCAGCAUAGGCUCCUUGCUCAUCAAAGGUGUCAGGCACCUAGUUCUGGAGCUUUAACAGCUGACAACCAGCUUCCUGUCCUGGAGCUUCUGCCCAAGUGGUCCUGUGACCUUUGUUCUCCCUGCUUAGGUAGAAGCUCCAGGUUAGGAAGUUAGUGGCCAGCUAUCAAAGCUCAACAUCUAGAAUGAGAUGGUUGAUAUCCUUAUAUAGUAAAGACCGCUACAUGGGUCACAUACAAAGAAGAGGCUUGGGCACAGGCCAGAGGAACAACAGGCAAGAAAAGAGAAGUGCUUAGAUAUUUGAGAGCCUCCUCAUCUUAACUACCAAAGGAACAAACUCUCUGGUCUGCACAGUUUUCUCUAAGGAACUAAGGGAAAGCCCCUAAGUCAACAGUGCACUGGUUGGUGAUGCACCCCACCCUCCCAACCCCCUUUAGCAGCUUCUAGCUUCACAGAACAAAACCUACUGAACCACCUUGGAAGGAUGGUACACUGGACCUUGUCAGCUGCCUGCACCUCAGAAAUUUCCAGGGUAAAACUGGAGGUGGGGUAGGAGGGUUGUUGGGCAGGCUUGCAAAGGUGAUUUUAGAAGUGCAAACCUGGUGGGGAAUUUUUCCUCAGACCACCUGGAGGGAAGUGGUUACAACUGACUACAAAUUCUCCUGAAAUGAUCAAGUACAUAGAGGGAAGGUGUUACAUUGUUGAGAAACAUGGCUGCUUUGCUUUCUUCUGGGGAGCCCUAGAGACUUUUAUAUCAAUCCCUGAUCUCUCCCAGCCUUAGGUACAGAGGAUGAGAUCAGGCCAGUGAAGAAAGGCACUCCCCUUGCGAUCUUCCAGGUAGCCACCAGUUUCCCACUGAGUGUAUUUUUUGCAAUUUAAGAUAAUGGGAGAUUUUCAAUGAGAUCAGCCUUGUGUGUGUAAAAAAAAAACAUAUAGCCUGUUUGGCCAAACUUAAAAGGUACCAUGUUGUGGAAGUUACUGAGUUUUACAUAUUUUAACUGAAGGGGGGGUGUUUGUAUUAACAGAACAAAAGUGCAAUAAUCUAUACAAUCAGUUAUUUAAGCCAUUACAAGUACCAUUACAGCAGGAGAGAAGGAAGAAAAUAUCUAAAAUACAUAAAAUUACUUUAAAAACUCAUUCUAGAAAAGGAAAUGCCAGAGGAGGAAGAUAAGGAGUCUUAAUUAACAAAAAAAUUCAUCUAUUUCUCUCCUUCAAAACGAGACACUCUUCAAGGCAAUUUGCUUGGAGAGCAGUUUAGCACCAUAAAUCUGGGAUUUUUUUUAUGUGUGUGUUUGCUCCGCAAGAGGCUUAAGAAAAACACAGCAACCAAACCACCCAAGCCAGCCCUGGAGGGAAAAAGAAGACCUAAUCACCCGUGAUGGCGAUUACAUAAUAGAGACUCACACACAAACCCCAAGAGUCUCAAAAGAGUCAGCCUUUGGCUUCCUGUCAUAAAACAUGCCUUUUUUUCCUUUGGGAGGAUCACUAAAAAUGCUUCUUAAAGACCAAGUGGAUGUCUUUGGUAGAAAUAGAGGUCACUUAGUAAUGAUUUAUAGGUGCACCCCCAGCCAAAAUAAAGCAUGUAUUGAUAUCUAAAGUGCAUCUGCAUUUAGUGCAGCAAAAGCACAUACUCUGUUUCUAAUCGGUGCCCUGAAGAUGCUCCCCCAGGAGGAAAAGGCCUGGCUUGGAGAGCCGCCCCUCCCGAGGCCCACAUCCCGGGCCCUUCCUUAGGCAGCCAGAGUGCUCCUCUCUUAGAUAAUGCCAGGUACUCUGGAAAGUAGCCUUGUAAUAAUACACAAACCCCUGAUGAUGUCAGCGUGUUAUUGACUUUCCAAGUCUGAAUGACUGAGCAGAGAAGCGGGGGUGGGGCGCGAUCCAUCCGGCAGCGCGGGGACCGGCCAAGCGAAAAUGAGCUCGCGGGCUGGACUGGGGGAGGGGCGGCAGCGGCUCAGCGCUCAGGCUCUCUGGCUCCGCAGCGGCGUCGGGGUCUCUGCAGCCCAGCCCCAUCGUGGCUCCCAACUCUAGUUCCUUCACUAUUUAUGUUUGGUCAAACACCCCUCUGGCAAAAAUUACUCAGGCCGCAAUCCCCUGCCCCUACCCCAAGCUUUAGUCACGUGGCCGAGCCUGAUUACCAAGCGAGGAGCAGAGGGCGAGAAAGAAGAUUCCUGCCCCCUCCCCCACUCUGUACUGGAGCCUUCCUCCCCCGCCGCGGUGAAUUCGCAGAUUCGAGGGUCGCCAGCUGCGGAGUAUUUCCCUCUACCGGAUACCCCCUUGGAAACUGCACCUCAGCGAUGGUGACAUUUUAUAGGACAUGUCUGGCUUCCUUUAUGGCGCUGGAAUUGCAGGUGUAGGGUGGUAGGUUCCCGCUUUCACCCUGCAAAUUGACCAAAGGGCGGUCUGUAAUCUUUAAGGCUAGGUGUGAAUCGGGCAAGGUUGCCCUUAAAUGGAAUUGCGUUCAGAGGCUGAGAUCUGGAGAGGAGCACUCCCAGCUGGGGCGUGGCCUUCCCCACUGGGCCUAGGCCUUCUUUUCUGGCCCCGCAGCUUCUGCCUGCUCUCCUUCCCCCGCAUCCCCUCGCCCACCUGCCUUAGCAGGCGCAACUCUGGGACUAGGCACCCAGACCUCUACCCGCUGGCGCAGCUCCCUUCCUCCCUCUCCUAGACCUGUUGAAACCUUCCUAGACAGCCCAGGGACGGCGCAGAAUUUCAGCCUUAAAUCCCAGGGACGGACUGAUCCUCCUCGGAACUCCUGCCACCCUCUCCUCCGCCCCCUACACACAAACCCAAGGAGUUCUUUGUGGGAGCCCCCUGCGGGGCACACCGCACACUGGCUGUGCGCUGCCUGAUUCCCAGUCCUGUUCUGACCCUUAUUAGCUGUUUAAGUAUGGACA